GACGAACGCUGGCGGCGUGCCUAAUACAUGCAAGUUGAGCGCUGAAGGUUGGUACUUGUACCAACUGGAUGAGCAGCGAACGGGUGAGUAACGCGUGGGGAAUCUGCCUUUGAGCGGGGGACAACAUUUGGAAACGAAUGCUAAUACCGCAUAAAAACUUUAAACACAAGUUUUAAGUUUGAAAGAUGCAAUUGCAUCACUCAAAGAUGAUCCCGCGUUGUAUUAGCUAGUUGGUGAGGUAAAGGCUCACCAAGGCGAUGAUACAUAGCCGACCUGAGAGGGUGAUCGGCCACAUUGGGACUGAGACACGGCCCAAACUCCUACGGGAGGCAGCAGUAGGGAAUCUUCGGCAAUGGACGAAAGUCUGACCGAGCAACGCCGCGGGAGUGAAGAAGGUUGUCGGAUCGUAAAACUCGGUUGGUAGAGAAGAACGUUGGUGAGAGUGGAAAGCUCAUCAAGUGACGGUAACUACACAGAAAGGGACGGCUAACUACGUG
rnacentral:rRNA from 1 species